GGGGUUGCUGACCAGGUGGAAGAUGAUGGGAGCCUCAGAAGGUGUCGUGGGACAGGGUCAGGGAGAGGGCUCUAUGCGGCCAGGAUCUGGAUGCAGAUUGUUGAGACUGAAAUUUGGCUCAGAUCCCUUCUAGUUGUGUCUGUUUAUCUUCAGUUUCCUUGUCUAUAAAAUGGGGAGAGAUUGUGUGUCCCCGGCAUCACUGGACUGUUAAUAGCUAUUGCAUUUAUAGCAUUUAUCCCAGAACCUGAAACACAGUAAAUGCUCAGUAAGUGUUAUUAUUUGCCCCAAACUGUCUUAGUGCUUUCCCCAAGAGCUUUGUGUUGUUUGUACUAUGAGGAAUAAUGAGGGUGGUGUGGGAGUCGGCCUCUGUGUCUGCAGAGAGGACCACAGGCCACAGGAAUAGAGACAGGUAGAUAGGAUCAAGGUGACAGGAACAGAUGUUCAGAGCAAGAGAUGAAGACGGCAUCAUCAACCCAGACAAGCCAGUGCUUUCUGAGAAGCCCUCCAGAACCGCAGCAUUGGAAGCUUCAAGAUUUAGUCAUUCUUCUGGCAAACAUAUGUGGAAGGCCUCCGGGGUAGCACACCCUUCACCGUGCCCUGGAGAUGCUGGGAUGCGACAAAAAAAGAAAAGACCACAUGAGGACACAGUGAGAAGCUGCCAUCUGUGAAUCGAGGAGAGAGGCCUCAGGAGAAGUUGACCCUGCUUCUACCUUGGUCUUGGACUUCCAGCCUCCUUAAGUUGUUUGUUAAGACACCCCAGUCUAUGGUAUUUUGUUAUGACUGUCCUUGCUGACAAGUAUCCUCUUUAAUGUACCUAUUCCAGAUUUCUCCUCUUCCCUGUCUCCCUAACCUGCUCCCUUACCAAGGCUUCCUGGUACCAAUACCUCCUAAAUAAACAACUUGCAUUUGAA
ensembl:lncRNA MIAT myocardial infarction associated transcript